UACCAGUACCCCGAGUGGUCGGGACGAUUAUUGGGCCUAAAGCAUCCGUAGCCGGCCUUACAAGUCCUCCGUUAAAUCCAGCUGCUUAACAGAUGGGCUGCGGAGGAUACUAUAAGACUAGGAGGCAGGAGAGGCAAGCGGUACUCAGUGGGUAGGGGUAAAAUCCGUUGAUCCAUUGAAGACCACCAGUGGCGAAGGCGGCUUGCCAGAAUGCGCUCGACGGUGAGGGAUGAAAGCUGGGGGAGCAAACCGG
rnacentral:rRNA from 1 species